rnacentral:lncRNA from 1 species
UGGAUUUUGCAAAUGCUUUAUGAAACAUGUUUCCCUUUUAUGCAGAUAUGCAAUGGCAAGCCUUUCCGUGUGUUCCAAAGGUAAAAUUUAAGCUCUAAAUUAAAGAAGACAUUUCUAGUCAGAAACAAGCAAAAAUGGAGAAUGCAGAGUAUCAGAAGCCCAAGGUACAGAAAUUAUGAGAAGUGUCGAGUGAUUUUAAGGAAAGAGUCGUAUUUGAAAAUGCGAGACUCUUUAGUGGAGGUCAAGCAAGUCAGUAUAGGUAGAAUACUCUGCAAAAUUUUGCGAGUGAGGGGAUGUCAAACAAUGGGUCAGGAAAUGCGUUGUUUUUCUGCAAAACAAAAGCUGAUUGCCAUUACAUAAGUCACUUCAGCAUCAUGAGACUGCUGCUUGAUCAAUUCAGAAAUAAACCAAAACACAAGACAUGCAAAAAUAAAGAAACAAUAUAAUGAUGCUCUCUCCACAUUGGGAUAAAUAAAAACAAACACAUCACAUCUAAUGUGGACAUAUCAGACACCUUGUGAAACACUAAAGGAAAAAGUUCAGUUUCGAGCUAUGGCACUUGCCGCAUAGAUGUGGGGGGGCCUUGCACUAAUAGUGAUAGUUACCACUGCAUUUAGAAAUAGAACGCAUUCAUGCAGACAAGGAUGAUUCUUUAUAUUUUUGGCUACCACUUCAAGUGCCUCCACCAAGUGUUACAAUGCUGCACGCAGCCAUACUAAGGAUCUCGCCGCAACACCUGGAGGUAAAAAGCAGAAGCAGUCAAAGUGCUGGUGUGUACUGGACACUAUGUUUGAAAACAUUAGGCAAGAAGCGUGCAAGAAGCAGACAUAACUGCAUUUAUUUCCAUAAUUCCCCAUUUGAAUGGCCUUUUCUUUUUGCUUAGACAAUGCCUACACCUAGCUACAGCAGCUCCCUCAUACAGACUCCACAAGCCAAGAGGCCGUGGAGGCAAAUGCAGGCAGCCAGCACACCCCGAACAGCCACCUUGACUGCGGGCGUGUCACCCUAGUCGCCAAGGAAACAUUUGAGGGAAAGCGACAGGCAAUGUGAACAGCCACUUCUCCAUGUAAACAAUACUCUUUCUCUCGGAUGACUCCUACGCCUCGCCACGCCAGCACACUUGUGCACAAAGAUGCUGCGGAGGCACGUGCAGCUCAGAGGCAAGAAGCAGUGGCACUGGUGUCGACAUUCACCCACUUUCUUUUUCUUACACUGAGGCAGCCAGUACACCUCGAACAGCCACCUUGACUGCGGGUGUGUCAGUAGAUUCCUGUUGUACAUAUGCUCAUAAUAAACAUCAGUAAACUUGAACUUGAUAAUAAACUUGAAGGCAAAUGGGA